rnacentral:rRNA from 1 species
GUCUUCGGGCUUUGAGACCGGCGCACGGGUGCGUAACGCGUAUGCAAUCUACCUUUUACAGAGGGAUAGCCCAGAGAAAUUUGGAUUAAUACCUCAUAGUAUUAUAGAAUGGCAUCAUUUUAUAAUUAAAGUCACAACGGUAAAAGAUGAGCAUGCGUCCCAUUAGCUAGUUGGUAAGGUAACGGCUUACCAAGGCUACGAUGGGUAGGGGUCCUGAGAGGGAGAUCCCCCACACUGGUACUGAGACACGGACCAGACUCCUACGGGAGGCAGCAGUGAGGAAUAUUGGACAAUGGGCGCAAGCCUGAUCCAGCCAUGCCGCGUGCAGGAUGACGGUCCUAUGGAUUGUAAACUGCUUUUAUACGAGAAGAAACACUACUUCGUGAAGUAGCUUGACGGUAUCGUAAGAAUAAGGAUCGGCUAACUCCGUGCCAGCAGCCGCGGUAAUACGGAGGAUCCAAGCGUUAUCCGGAAUCAUUGGGUUUAAAGGGUCCGUAGGCGG